rnacentral:rRNA from 1 species
UGACUAAGUAGCACCAUAUUAAAAGCAUAUGAACAUGCAAACAACCAACCUUAAGUACCACGAAAGCAAAUAUGCAACACAAUAUUGUCAUGGUAAUACAAGGAAUGCUCGGAAGAUAAAGUAUCACAGUACACGGAUACAUAGAUAUCGAAAGAGCACCAAAAAUAAACUGCCGAAAGAGAUGCAGUAGGAUAGAAAUGACUAGUGGUGCUCGAUGGCGACAUGUGAUUUGGUAGACUAGUUCACUCUUCUGCAAAAGAGCUACAUCUGGUUGGAGGGACUUGUGAUUGUAGAAGAUAAACUCUCUUCGUCCUAUCCUCCUCAACGUGAAGUUCCUCGAACUUCAGUUGAUUUUACUCGUGGUAGAUUCUUCUCGGCAAUCUCCAAACCUUUGAUAGACUUCAUCUUCGGUUACCACAAUUACUCUUGGUCACUCCUCGCAAACCACAAUGGCUCUUGGUUGUUGAAGACUUUGACCCGGGGACGAUAGUUACUCUUCAUCACUCGAGCUGACGCCUAAGAGUUAGCUGCUCUCAAGAGUAAUAGGCACAAGAACUCUCAACUGUGAUGCUAAAACACUAUCUAAAUUUCGGCACCUGAUGUUCUCUCAGUGGAUUUUAAACUGAAAUCUCUCAGAGAGGGGUGCUCAAUUAAUCUUCUCAGAAU